UCGGGAAUUUUGGGCAAUGGGCGAAAGCCUGACCCAGCAACGCCGCGUGAAGGAUGAAGUAUUUCGGUAUGUAAACUUCGAAAGAAUAGGAAGAAUAAAUGACGGUACUAUUUAUAAGGUCCGGCUAACUACGUGCCAGCAGCCGCGGUAAUACGUAGGGACCAAGCGUUGUUCGGAUUUACUGGGCGUAAAGGGCGCGUAGGCGGCAAUUCAAGUCAUCUGUGAAAUCUCCGGGCUUAACUCGGAACGGUCAGAUGAUACUGCUUUGCUAGAGUGCAGAAGGGGCAAUCGGAAUUCUUGGUGUAGCGGUGAAAUGCGUAGAUAUCAAGAGGAACACCUGAGGUGAAGACGGGUUGCUGGGCUGACACUGACGCUGAGGCACGAAAGCCAGGGGAGCAAACGGGAUUAGAUACCCCAGUAGUCCCUGAGCGGGCUGGCAAGGCGCAU
rnacentral:rRNA from 1 species